UACGUAGGGUGCAAGCGUUGUCCGGAAUUAUUGGGCGUAAAGAGCUCGUAGGCGGUUUGUCGCGUCUGCUGUGAAAUCUGGGGGCUCAACCCCCAGCCUGCAGUGGGUACGGGCAGACUAGAGUGCGGUAGGGGAGAUUGGAAUUCCUGGUGUAGCGGUGGAAUGCGCAGAUAUCAGGAGGAACACCAAUGGCGAAGGCAGAUCUCUGGGCCGUAACUGACGCUGAGGAGCGAAAGCGUGGGGAGCGAACAGG
rnacentral:rRNA from 1 species